ACUCAAAGGAAUUGACGGGGGCCCGCACAAGCGGUGGAGCAUGUGGUUUAAUUCGACGCAACGCGAAGAACCUUACCUACCCUUGACAUCCUUGGAAUCCGAUAGAGAUAUUGGAGUGCCCGCGAGGGAGCCAGGAGACAGGUGCUGCAUGGCUGUCGUCAGCUCGUGUCGUGAGAUGUUGGGUUAAGUCCCGUAACGAGCGCAACCCCUGUCCUUAGUUGCCAACAGGUAAUGCUGGGAACUCUAAGGAGACUGCCGGUGAUAAGCCGGAGGAAGGUGGGGAUGACGUCAAGUCCUCAUGGCCCUUACGGGUAGGGCAACACACGUGCUACAAUGGACGGCACAGAGGGAAGCGAAGCUGUGAAGUGAAGCGAAUCUCAGAAAGCCGUUCUUAGUCCGGAUUGGAGUCUGCAACUCGACUCCAUGAAGUUGGAAUCGCUAGUAAUCGCGGAUCAGAAUGCCGCGGUGAAUACGUUCCCGGGCCUUGUACACACCGCCCGU
rnacentral:rRNA from 1 species